ensembl:lncRNA
CAAAGACUGUGGGUGCUGUAGUCCAGAAGAGACUGGAUAAGCUGUGGACUUAUCCAGUGUAGACAGAGAUGGUACAAUCAACCAAGGAGACACGUGCCUAGAGACUCUCAGAGCUACAGGGACCACAGCAGGCACCUUGGGAAUUUACAGCACCUGCUGUAUUUAUUGUUGAUCCCUCUGUUUCCAUAGAUCUCUGACUGCUGAAGCAAGAAGAACAGAGCUGAUGCUGUGUGCUUUUGUGCCCAAUGAAUUCCCUUCUUAAACUCACCCCAUUUCCUCAAGUCUAUCGCCUAAUGCAGUACUUUCCCCAAAGAUAAAAGGAAGACAUACCGCUCACUGAAUGUAAGGGAAUUAUGUAAUGUGUAAUAUGAGUGCCAAGCCAAACACUUGAAUUAACUGUGGGUGUGGGAUGGAGGGCAAAUGAGGAGGCACUGGGGGCUGUGUGAACCCGAGUUGAUGGGGAAAGACAGCACCAGUCCUUGGACACAUCCUCCCACAUCCACACUCUACUCGAUACUUGCCCACAUGAAUCCCCCUUCCUGCUGUCCUUGGGAUUUAACUAAGUGUCUGACAUCCACAGCCUGGGUUUCCUGGGCCCCUUUCCUGGGAGGUUAGUUGUUGAUAUAUCUAUAUUUUCCCUAGUCUCUGCCCUGGCAUCUCAGCUGGGAUUCCCUUCACCAACACAAGCUCCAUGCUCAUACACUGGCUUAAUUUUCCCCUCCCUGAAGACUGCACCACAAGAUCUAUGCUGACCCGUCUGCUGCCUGGAGAUGAAGGGACUCAGAUAGAAAAGGUGCUUCACACCGCUCAGGCUCCGCUCAGCCAUUGCAGAUCUGACUCCCUAAGUCCCCUCCAUCCAUCACUCUGCCUGUGGGUUCUCAUAAGACACAGCGGAGUCCCAGUCUUCCCCCGGAAAGCAUUUCUGCGGGUCAUAUGACGAGAACCCUAUAUCUGCUCAUUGGAUGGCCCCUGUCUGCUGAAUGUCAACACAGCAGUCUAAAACUGUGUGGUACACAUUUGAACUUGUAGGUCUU